AAGACUGAAUUGCUCGCAAUGUUCUAGCUUGACGAUAGUUUUUAGACAAGCUGGAUUCAGGUUCAAAGUGCAAAGAUAAGGGCUUUAAGAUGCAUAGGUAAGUUUGAGAUUCUUGAUCGGAGGUUUCGGAGCGAGGCUGCUGCCUUCGCUUGUUUCCUGUGGAAUGCGUUUCGUCGUCGCAUUCAAGAUGAUUCGCAGCACCCUCGAACAAGCGUCCGUGCUGUAGCCGAAUUCAGUGUCGAGUUCAUACGUGUAUUGCUUCAUUCUUCCCCGUUCCUUAUGAGACGCAUGCCCAACUCCAGCAUGUUUCAUGUACUCGGUAUUUCUGUUUCAAGGCAACUGGGCGGCAGAGCGAUUCGCGCCGCUGGAUCGAGAAGCGAGAAGACUCGGUGUCGUGCCUGGGCGACUCGGAAACAAGUUCAUACUGAGAGUUCAUUGAACUUGUCCCGCCAGCGAAUAGUUGAUUGUGUUCGAAGGACAGAGCCCGGCUCUCUUUUGUGACCACAGUUGAAACAGCAAUCUACGGCAGUAUGAUAGCUCACAAGGGAUACGUUGCAAGAAGAUACCGUCUAUUCUUUUUGCAUAGAAAAAGGGUCUAGUACUCGGAUAUUACCAUCGGAGAAAUCUUUUUCAAUGGAGAAAGCGUUAUAACUUUACAAGAAGAGAGCGAGGACGUCUCGAAAUCUGUAGACUUGAUCGCCAGCCAGCAUUUGCCGUACAGAACUUGUUGCAUCAGAGACACCGCCGCACGCUACAAGUCCCCUGUCGACGGAACAAUGAGCGAUUGCGUGCCCGGCGGAUGGAGUUUUCACCAUGGGGAUUGCAUAGAAGAAGCCCAUGAUCUUGGAGUGCGGCUCAGGGUGCGGAAACAGAGAAGGAAAUCGACUGAAGCUUCUUGUACCUGUCAAGCGCAUGCGCCAAGCGAUGAAGCAAGCGUUCACGGACAAGAGCAGGCGCCCUGGGGAAGCGAUACCCCAGACGUAUGGGCAUACGCGACCACAGUCAUGUGUCACUGUUGCGAAGCUCGCACCGAUGCCAUCCACAGAGACGAUGCGUUUCGUGAGCGAUGCGUCGAUCGCAACGACCUCCUGUAUAUGAAACGCGUCCAUAACCACAGGACGCAUUAUCAUCUCUAUUUGAACGCGCUCAUCAACAUAUUUCGAACGCUGACAGCAACACUGAAGCCCGAGAAGAGACCGAUUUAUUCGAAUCCGGCGAUAAGAAGGCGGAGAAUGAAGCAUUCGCAGAAGACGCUCGUAAACUCUAGUUUUCACCGAA